CAGCCGCCGCGGUAAUACGAAGGGUGCAAGCGUUAAUCGGAAUUACUGGGCGUAAAGCGUGCGUAGGCGGUGAGUUAAGUCUGCUGUGAAAUCCCCGGGCUCAACCUGGGAAUGGCAGUGGAUACUGGCUCGCUAGAGUGUGUCAGAGGAUGGUGGAAUUCCCGGUGUAGCAGUGAAAUGCGUAGAGAUCGGGAGGAACAUCAGUGGCGAAGGCGGCCAUCUGGGACAACACUGACGCUGAGGCACGAAAGCGUGGGGAGCAAACAGGAUUAGAUACCCGCGUAGUCCCUGUCUCUUAUAC
rnacentral:rRNA from 1 species